UUAUAACUGUGGUAUUUAUACCCAUUAAAAGAUCCAGAUCCAGAGUAACAUUGAUCUAAUGCUGGAUCUAUUGAACUGGUGUUUAAGGAGUGACACACUGUCUCUAAUUAAAUUGUACAGAGUUUGGGCGUACACCUAACCAUAUACGAGAAUUUAACAUAAAAGCUACAUUUAAGACUAGUGAGGGAAAGAUUAUUCAGUAAGUGGAACUGGCAUAACUAGAGACCAUUUGGAAAAUAAUAAAGGAAAAUCUCCGUCUUGCUCUUUAUACCAAAGUAAAUCUCACAAAGAUUAAAGAUUUAAACUGCAAACAAACAAGCAAAAAACAAAAACAAAAAACAACAACAUCAAAAAACCAACACAGACGGUGCUGCAAGAGCUAUUGCUCUAUCAGCAAAAGAUCAUUAUUAUUACCUUUGUGUUUUUUGCAAAACUGGCAGCCAAAUGCAGGGUGGAAUGAAGAAGGCAGCAGGCGGAGAGAUGAAUUAGCUGGUUGAUACAAUAGGUCAUGAGGCCAGAACAAGGUCAAUAGAAGUUAAAAUGGGGAAGCUGGAGAGGGUUGGAAACAAUUUAGAGAUGGUAGAGUCACAAGAUGGCUACUUAUCAGGUGUGAGAAGGAGAGGCGGUAAAGUCAUUUGAGAUAGUAUUUACCGAACCUGGUGGUUGACUGGGGGUGGGAGGCAAAGGAGGUAAAAACGUUUCUAAUUUCGUAGACUAGGAAAAGCUGAUCUGGUUAAACAACUUAAGGAGCCCGAGAAGGAAGGCACAUUGGUUGAGGGCUGGAAGACACGCUAAAUUUUGGAGGUGUUGAGUUCGAGAUACCUGUGCGGUGUCCAGCUACAGGUGUCAGAGUGAUAUUUGGAAAAUAUAGUUGGAAACUCCUGAGUGAAAAAAACUGCUCCAUGGGUAACAGAAGAAGAAAAGAGAGGGGAGGCAGAACUUUGGAGAAAACCUGCAUUUCACAGUUGGGUCAAGGAAGGGGAAUCAGCAAAGGGAGUGGAGGAAGAAUGGUCAGAAUCUCUGGAGAAAAAGUAGUGCUCUGGUAGCCACAGGUCGAAGCAGCCAUGAAUGCCCAAAUGCAGGGGGAGCCGUGCUUCCUUCUGGGAGCCCCCAGAAGUUCAGCUGCGUGAGCUAGCCCCAGCCCCACCCCGAUUCUCUCCAGCUGCUCUCUGAAGUUUAAAGAACAGCAGUCCCAGCUUCUCCAGUUUUGCAGAUAAUCCUCCUUCUGACUUGUCUUCUAAAGCUACGGCAGGCUGCCUCCAUCCUUCACCUCGUCUCCUCUCUUCACAGGGGCAUUCUGUCGUCUCUCAGCAUCACAAGAAGAGGGGUGAGCACAGAACAUUAGGAUAUUUUGAGAGAAAGCACAAGACCACAUCCAUAUACCUUUUAUAACAGUACCUGGUCUUAAUUGUCCUAUUUUAUUCCUAGCUAUUGUUGUUCAUCUCUUACUGUGCCUAAUUUAUAAAUUAAGCUUUAUCCUAGGAAUGCAUGCAUAGGAGAAAAACAUAGUAUAUAUAAAGUUCAGUGCUGUCUAUGAUUUCAGGCAUCCACUGGAGGUCUUGGAAUGCUUCCUAGGCAGAUGAGGGGGACUACUGUAAUGUUCAGCUUUUUACGUAAGAACCUUCAAACAUUUUCUAAAAAACAAGUGCUGUAAUCCCCUUUGUCCCAGAAUUCACAAAUAUAAAAGGAUGCAAUUUCCUUACACCCCUUGGCAACUCAAGGGCAAUGGAGCUCACAGUUCGCCAGGCCUUAGUCCAAGGCCCCACAGCCAAAACCUUCCAAGCAAAUAAACAAAAGAAGCAAAAUCCACCAGAGUCUACAGAAAGUCAUGCAAAUUGAAUUACAUUUCUUUUUUCAUAUGAGAAAACUUGCUUCUGACAAGAAUAUUGAGCUCCUUUCCUAGGUCUUAUAGCAUAAUGUUCCUGUUCUUUUUUAAAGAAUUUUUUUUUUAAGAUUUUAUUUAUUUAUUUGACAGACAGAGAUCACAAGUAGGCAGAGAGGCAGUCAGAGAGAGAGAGGAGGAAGCAGGCUCCCUGCCAAGCAGAGAACCCGAUGCGGGGCUCGAUCCCAGGACUCUGGGACCACGACCCAAGCCGAAGGCAGAGGCUCUAACCCACUGAGCCACCCAGGCGCCCCUCCUGUUCUUUUUUAAAUCUUCUAAAAAUUCCCCAGAAAUCUUUAUGCUCCUUAAAUCAUGACAAAGCCAAGGAUAUUCCAUAAGGCUGGCUUUAGUUCGAACACCUAGGGGACGAUUUUGAGACAUUACACGUCACUGAGUUUUUGGGGAGGCAGUUACUAAAUGUAUAAGUAUGUAAUUAAUCCUAAAGCCCUUCUGACUAUUUGCUCGGAAAAAAAAAUGAUUUAGAUUGCAAUGACAGACUCGUAGACAUGCCUUGGAAUUUAUAUAAGAAACCAAAGAGUUAUUACAGAAACAAUUCAAACCUGUAUAUUGUGACUUAAAGUUGCCAAAACAAAUAAACUUAAGAUGCAAAGAUGUUUUUAAUAAAGAAUGUUUUUAAAAACAGCUGCAUAAGAUGUAUCCAACAUAAGAGUAUUUUAUUAAGUAGUAUUUUUUUAAAGUCAGAAAACGAAGCAGGCACUGGAAGUGUAACCAGGCUCAGCAGGUGAAGGAAUAGUUUUUUCCUGAAAUAAAGUACUAAGGACUUGAGAGCAUAACUCGGCGACCUUUUAUAAUUUUGUUUUAUAAAUCCAUUUUUAUAAGGAAUGAUCUGCACCUUUUCAAAAACUGUCAGAUAUUUUAAUAGCUGGAAAACUUAAUUCUGAGCUAAUCUAAUUGAGAGUUGGCUUUAUCUGGUACCAACAUAAGAAAGGAAACUUCAGUAAAUUCAAAUACAUUGAAUAAUAACUUAACUCAGCCACUCUUUCUGGUCUGGAAGUAAGUAGCCGUCCUUCUCCCUUUUAGAGUUAGGCCUUUAGAUCCUAGGCUUUAGAUCCAGUCUUUUCAUCCUCCUCAAAAAAUCACCAUCUCCACUGACACACUCUUUGUGGAGCCUUCAUUCCCUGGCCUUCCAGAAUCCUUCAGUUUUGCCUGUAAGUGGCCCCUCUGUCUUAGAAAUAAAUACACGUGUUAACAUAGCCCUGUGAUCCUCCUGGGAUCUACUCCUUUCUUUUGUUCCUUUCACCCCAUAUUUCUUGAUUGGCCGUCCUGCCAGGGCCUUCCCAGUCACUGCCAGGCACACUGAAGCCUUUGCCUCCUGAUGCAAAGCUCCUGUCCGCCAUUCUGCUCACAGCUCUGUUCAUCAAAUCAAUGGGCUUUUCUCAGACUUCAUUCUUCUUGAACUCUUUACCACCUGGCUAGUCCUUCCUCAAUAACAAGCUAUGAUGCAUGGAUUGAUGUAAAACAAGUCAUUUGAGUUUUUGCAAUGUUUAGGAGUAUAGAUUUUGUUGUCAAGGAGACCCAGUAUCACCAUUUUUGUAACUCUUUAACUAUUGGGGGAAAUUCUUAAAUUUCUCUGUCUCAGUUUGCUCAUCUGUAAAAUUAGGUAAACUCUUCUUCCUAGGUAAGUUAUGAGGAUUAAAUAAGAAAAUACAUGUAAAAUUCUCAGUAUUCAGUAGGCGCUCAAUAAAAAUUACCUCUACUACUCACCCCAUCUUUCUGACAACUCCCUAGUCUCCUUGCUGUCUCCUCUUCAUUUCUCUGUCCCUAACUGUGGAUUUCUCCCAAAGCUUUGUGCUGCCCUCUAUAAGCCCUUACAUACCCCAUCUCCUCAUUGUUUCCAGGAUGACCACUAUACUAUACCCUUCUAGUUUGGGCAUGACCUCUCUGCCAAGCUCCAUCCAAUCCCACUUCAUGGACUGCCCUUCCGCACAUUCCUCCCUGACUGAGCUGUCCUCCCUCACAUUCAACUCAAAACAAAAGGAUCUUCUCUUCUACCUCCAGUAACCUCUACCAGUGGCAUCACAGAUGUAGGACCUCAGAAUCAUUUUUAAGUCAUUCUUUUUCCACAGCUGCCUGAACUUCACAUAUACAAUAUCCUGUUUUUAUUUUCUAAUCUCUCUUAGUACUGAUUUCACCUUCUCUUUCCAGUGACCAGUGCUCUUGGUUAGGCCCUAAUCUUCUUACAUUUCGGUUACUGAAAUAGCCUUUCAAAAGGCCUUCUUCUACUAUCAACAGACUAAUUUUUCUGAAGUGACAGUGUAAUAAUAAUGGUCUCCCAUUCAAAAUCCACUGACAUUCUCCUCCCACAUGAUUUUCUACAAGAUGAAACAAAACUCUUUAGUCUUUAAUUCAAAGUCCUCCGCAUGCAACAAUAAUCAACCUCUCCAAUUUUGUCUUCCAGUUGAAAUCCUCUAAGUUAGAAGGUAUGUCUGGUUCUUCUUCAUAUCCCCCAUGUAAAUCACAGUCCUAGUCAAUAAAUGUUUGCUGAGCUGAGCUACUAUAGCUGAUGUCCUCCCACAAUUAUAGGCAUUUGUUGAUUGAAUAUUAAAUUCAUUCUUCAUUCAAUUCAUUUAACUAACUAAUACUUAUUGUCAAAGUGUCUGAAACUAUAUAAGCUCUACAAUUAUACAAUAUUUAUAAUGAGUAAGCAUAUUAAUCAAGAUAAGCCACUUUAUGCUGUGGUGACAAAUAAUCCCAAAUUCUCAGUGGCUUCACAUAUAGUAUUAUGUUUAUCACUCACACAAAGCUCAGGCAGGUGACCUCCAGUGAAACUGCCUUCCUAUGGGGUCCUGGGAUUCCUGCAUACUUUAAUCCAAUGGACGUCCAUAUCAAAAUAACCUUCCACAAUCACCAUGGCCAGAAACAACAGCAUGGAAAAUCAUAUGCUGGCUCUUAUACACUUAGACCUGGAAGGGACAUGCAACAUCUUACACCCAAUGUCAAGGAAAUGAAGAAGAGAGAUCCUCCCAUUUGUCCAGGAAGGGAAGAAGGACCAGAUGGCUGAUGCAUUAGGAAUGAGAACAGUGGGCUCGUCAAUGAAUUGGAGUUUAAUACAGCUGCUCGCCAACUUUAGCAUGUGUCUGAAUCACUGCAGAGUUUGUCAAAUCAGAGAUCACUAGACCUCAUCCCCAGAGCCUGAUUCAGUAAAUCUGGAUUGCAACUGGAAAUUUUGCAUUUCUAGCAAGUUCCCAGGAAAUGCUGAUGCUGCUAGUCUAGGGACCUCACUUUGAGAGCCACUGGGUCAAAAUAUACCUAAGCAAUCUUUUCCUAUUUUAAAUGGUUCCUGUUCUCAAAGAGCCCACAGUUUAAAUUGAGGGGGAGUGAGAAGAAAAUGUUCCUACUGAACUGAGAUGAAUAUUGGCUGGAAGUGUUCAGGACUGGCCUAGCACAGUAAAAACAAUAGCUAGAGCUAUUGUAUCCCACACCUCCUUCCACUUGCUGAGAUUCAACCUUCUUUUUCACUUCCUCUGUCCCCAUUCUCUUCCUCUCCUUUCCACCCCCCGACCAGGUAUUUCUCCCUACACUUCUUGCUCCAGCCUCCCAUGGAUUCAUUUCUAGAGUCCUAACUUUUUCUUCCAAACUGGUCCCCUUUGUCUCUGUCAUUGUGAGCUCAUAGUUUUGACAUUUACUCCCACCACUGACCAUUCAUAAAAUGUUUGCUGUUAUCAUUGAAAAUCUAAAAGAGGACAUCAGCCACUCGGAUCAGUUCAGCCUAGGGGCCAACUGGGUGCUUCUAUAUAUGAGUUUCUAUCAAUCACUUUUUCCAAAAUAUUUAUCCCUUUUAACCAGUGUGGCUCUCUCUUUGGGAAAGGUGGAUACAAGCCAGAGGAAAUAUGAACGUGUACAAAACUCAAGACCUAGUGGCAGGGUAGGUUGGAGACCACUCAGGUGAGUAGGCCAUCACUCCUGCUCCUAUUACACCAUCUAUCACUGAUCUUGUGGCAAGGUAUUCUGUGGUCUUUUGGGAGACUUUCUCCAGUCUCCCUGGCAGGCAUGACUCUCUGGUAUCAUCCCAAGCUCUGGUCAUCUUUGCAGGUGUCAGGACAGAGGCAGUCCAGGUAACAAUGAAAACUCUCCCCACACCAUCAAUGAGGCACCAUCUAUGUACCUCAACCCUGACCUGGAGGGGUGACCAAAGUGCAACAAAUGGAAAUGCACAAGUCUUAUAUCUCUGUGUUAUGUGAAUUCUGUGGAGCCUGAUUCAGCUCACCUGGGGAGAGCACAAACUGGGAGAGCAGCAGGCAGAUCAUGACCUGAGCUGAAGGCAGACACCCAACCAACUGAGCCACCCAGAUUGCUCUCUCCUGACCACAUGUCCAGCUCUCCAGAACGGACAUGCCCCACCUCAAUGUUGACCAAUCGUGUUGAUUACACUUAAAUUGUGAUGUCCCCUCUGCUCUGUCUACAGUGAUGGAAAAGAUACAGUUACAUGCCAGAAGAGAUAGGAGGACUCCAGGUUGUGAAGAUCAAAUGAAUUCCUACAAGCAGAGCACUCAGAAUAAUGUCUAGCAGAUUUUACUUAUUUGGCAGAGUGUGCACAAGCAGGGAGCCCUAGGGAGAGGGAGAAGCAGGCUUCCCACUGAGCAGGGAGCACAACUCAGGGCUUGAUCGCAGGACCCUGAUCAUGACAGAAGCUGAAGGGAGACGCUUAACUGACUGGUCCACCCAGGUGCUCCUGUAAAUGUUUUUUCUUUUCCUCGUGAUUUAUGUAAUGAUACUUUCUCUUCUCUGACUUUUUGUGAGAAUACAGUGUAUAACACAUAUAACAUACAAAAUUUGUUAAUUGACUGCUUAUGUUAUUGGUAAUGCUUAUUGUCAGUGAUGUGGGGAACAAAGGCAGAAGAAAAAGUAACUUUCCUUUCUACUUAAAACCCACUGACAGGUCGUUGAAACAGGAAGAGUGACAUUCUUCUAGGAACUCAGCUGCCCUUUAAACUUUGCUGAGGGCAAAAGACAAUCUUAGCCCAAUCCCCAGGAUUCUGAGUCUACUUUAACAUAUAAAAGUUCCUUUGGAAACGUCCUUUAUCUCUACCGGCCAAGGUACAUGUGGGCAAUCACCCCCAAGCAUACGACCCACUGAUGUACAUCUGAAGGGUCUCAUGACUCAGGUUUUAUUAGAUAGUAAUAAGUGACCUUUUCCUAACAACAGCACACCCCUCAAGAUCCUGGAAAUCUUGCUUCCAAAAUUCUUUAGAAACAAAGCUAUCACCAACCCCCUCCCAACUUGAGAGUAUAUAAUCAGUCACUCUUCAUGACCUCAGUGCAGUUCUUUCCGCUCCGGGUCCUGUCCCCUUGCUUUAGUAAAACUACCUUUUGCACCAAAGAUGUCUCAAGAAUUCUUUCUUGGCCUUGGGCUCCAAACACCAACAUCUUUCCUUCAUCAUCAACAGUAGGCUAUUUAGUUAAGUUUUGGGGGAGUCAAAUGUCAUACAUGCCUUUUUGACUGUGUGGCGUUGGGGUCCCUAACCCCUGCUUUACUCAAGGGUUCACCUUAAUGAGAUCCAAAUUGUGCAAGUGGACUAAGUUAACGUCUCUUGCUGAGAUGGCCAAAGUUUUUUAUUAAAGUUUAUUUAUUUGCAUGCUAUAAGGAUCCAUUCAGAACUUUUUAAAAGUCAUUUUUGUCUUUAGAAGAUUCUGCACACCAAAGAAUGCAUUUCCUUGUCCUUCUGAGGUUUGUAAUCCUCUUUUAAGGGGGCUCCUUAAGGUGGAUUUAUCUAAAAGUUUUGAGAAGAUGGCCAUUACAAUUCAAAUUCUUCAAAAGUUUAUGCAUUUUUCAAGAAAGGCAAAAGAUGCUGAUUAAAGAGCCAGGUGGAAGCUAACAGGCCUUUGGAUUCCCUAAGAUGUCUUAACUGGGAGAGGCCUUAUUUUUGAACAAUUCUUCUAAAACACUGUGAAUCAUGUGUUUUCCUCCCUUUUGAAUACAAUGAGUAACGGACCAGGAAGCUUCAAACAACAAACAAAAGCAUCCUUACAAGGAAGGGUGAUGCCUUCAUAAAAACAAAAGCCAAUCCCAAAUAAACCCAGAGAGCUCACAGUACAAAGAGAGUGCACAAAACCCAAAGGGACUCAAAGCCAGUUGUUUUACCAGCAAAAAGAGUUUCUCCAGGAAUAGCAGAGGAAUUGCAAUUUGGGACAAGCAAACUAUGACAAACCAUUGCAUUCUUGUGCCAUGUAUCCCAGCAUGACUCUUUGGUGAUGUCCCCAUGCAGUGAUCCGCUCAGUUGGUAUAUCUGGUCCCCAAAAUAUCCUGAGGUUCUUACACCUAGCCUUCUUUACUUAACCUGUUGUUUCUGCAGGAACUCCAGUUUUCAUCACGAAGCCAGCCAGAGCCAGUCAAGACCACUGACCUCCUCUUUGAGCACAACAAAAUGGAAUUAAACCUCCCUGACUUGGUUACUUUUAUCUGAUUUUGAGUAGCAUAGCUCCUCUCCUGUUUACCAGACUCUUUUCUGCCUGCCUUAAAAAAAAAAAAAAAAAAAAAAAAAAAUCCCUGAGUCUCCCUCUCAGAGAGAUGGAUUUGAAACUUUUCUCCCAUCUCAUUUGGCAUCCUUUCAAAUGAAUUGUUGCCACAUGCUCAAUGCCUCAGUGAUCAACUUUGAUGGAGUAGGACAUGAACUUAUGUUCAUUUGUAACCAAACUUAACUUUGGUUACAAAUUUGGUUACAAACUUAAGUUUGGUUACAAUAAGACAAUUAAGAACGCUCCAUAAAGAAGGGUGCCUGGGUGGCUCAGUCAGUUAAGUGUCUGCCUUCAGCUCAGGUCAUGAUCCCAGUCCUGGGAUCAAGUCCUACACUGAGGCUCUCUGCUCAGCAGGGAGCCUGCUUCUCCCUCUCCCUUGCUCCUCCCCCAUGCAUAGGUGUGCAUACAUGUCUAUGCGUUCUCUUUCUCUUACUCUUUCAAAUAAAUAAAUAAAAUCUUUAAAAAAAAAAAAAACUCCAUAAAGAAUUUUUUUCCUUCAAAUAUAGCUAAUUUAUUUUUUUAAAGAUUUUUAUUUAUUUAUUUGACAGAGAGAUCAUAAGUAGGUAGGGAGGCAGGCAGAGAAAGAGAGGAAGCAGGCUCCCCACUGAGCAGAGAGCCGGAUGUGGGGCUCCAUCCCAGGUUCCUGAGAUCAUGACCUGAGCUGAAGGCAGAGGAUUAACCCCCUGAGCCACCCAGGCAUCCCAAAUAUAGCUAAUUUAAAGGAUCCAUCAUUUGGCCAUUCAUGAGUAGAAUCUUAAAUCUCAAUAGCAACUCAAAUAAACUUUCUUUCUUUCUUAUUAACAUAUAAUAUGUUACUUGUUUCAGGGGUACAGGUCUGUGAUUCCUCAGUCUUAUAUAAUACACAGCACCCACCACAAAACAUACCUUCCCCAAAUAAGACUUUUUAUAGCAAGACCCAGUGGAAACUUUCCAGGCUUAGACCAUGGACACAAGAGGUGUUUCUGGAGAGGACAAAGGUGAUCAGCCUUAAUGAUCCAAAAACUUUCUCCCCAAAAAUAAGACAGCAACAGCCCUCAUUGCAUGGGUUGUAAGGUUAGGCUAGUGUAAGUCUAGCCUCCCAUAAAUAUGUGAGAUGCCUCCAGUCACAGACUCACUGAUCUGUGACACCAGGCGGGCACUACUAGAGCAAUGAAGUUGGGACCACAAAGUUCCCUUAUGUCUGGGACCUCUUAUGAGAAACUCCCCUGAGCACAGCUGGACCAGGAGAGUACUGCUUCUAACUUCGUGCCUCAGAAACCAUCCAUUUGACCACCAUGAUACACCACGGUGAGGGAACCCUCUAGAUGGCAGAGACCAGAGAGAAUGUAUCUCACUUGUAACAAAGCCAAGUUCUCAGGACAUUACAAAUUCGAACGGAAAAAGCCUUUUCUUUUGUCUUAAUAUAGAGGACUCAAAGCAAAGUUCAUCUAAACAGAUGUCAUUCGGAUGAGAGCCAGUAACUCAUCAGUCUGUUCGACUGUCUUCAACAAUAGGCGUAUAAAGGCCUACCCCUGCAUUCUUUCCCUAUGGUAGUUCCUUUUUAGAUCAAUAUAAAAAAUGGAGACAAAGAAAAGUGACCCUAUAUGGGAUGAAAUAGAUCAGUUAAAUGAAGAGCACUCCACCAAAUUUACCAGAAUCGUGAUGCCUAAAGAAAGACCUAAUAUAAAUUUAGAAAACGUAUACAUAUAAAUAUAAAUUCAGAAAAGGGGCUCUCACUCCAUUGGACUCUGCAGACAGAGACCCGGAAAGCUUAUCAAUGAGCAGUGUCCAGCCGGGGAAGUUGAUCUUGCUCACGACAUAAACUGCUGGAAAAGAAAAAGAGCUCUCGGAUGCCUGGAUGGCUCAGAGGGUUGAGCAUCUGCCUUCAGUUCACAUCAUGAUCCCAAGGUCCUGAAAUUGAGUCCCACAUCAGGCUCCCUGCUCAGUGGGGAGCCUGCUUCUGCUUCUGUCUGCUGUCCUCCCUGCUUGUGCUCACUCUCUUGUUCUCUCUCUUUGACAAAUAAAAUCUUAAAAAAAAAAAAAAAAAAA